AGCCUACUAGCUCAAUUGGUAGAGCAUAAAAAAAUGUGGGUUCGAAUCCCAAGUAGGUUC
rnacentral:tRNA from 1 species